CUCAUAAGUUCCUAGACAGAAAGAUGAGAAGUAUUUUAUAACCUCAUGUGAGAGAAACUAUGACACAAAAUCCAGAAGCUUAAGUAGACAGCAUCUCAGGAAGAAAUACUGCUGCAUGUAACACAAGUGAGCUGUACUCAGCAUCUUCUGAUCCAAGCUCAUUGAAGAAAAACCUGAAUGAUCUCAAGAGCCCUUCUUUAAGCAACAUCUAUUUUAUCUGGAAAACACAGCUCUGUCAUUUGAAAAUAAAUUGUAAAUACAGAUCACAGAAGAAAUGAAGAUAUCACACACAGAGACAAGAGCACUCCUGAAGGGAGGGAGUUAUUAUCUCUAUAGCCGAGAAGACUGAGGCUCUUAGUGGUUAAGUCACCUGCACAAGCUCAGACGCAAUCUAGCACCACAGAAGAUUUGGUAUUCUCAGAAUCCUGGCUGAUACUGGGGAAAGCGGCUGUUUGAACAUGGUGAGAAGGACUAUGGUGACUGUGGCUCACAGCAGAGACCUGAAUUCAUGCUACAGUAACAGCACAAAGGAUGUGAGGGGAAGGAGAAUCAGCUGUAGUCUGAACACUAGACAAGAGAAGGGUGAGGAAGAACAGCUGCCCUGGCAUGGGGGUAGGCAUCAAAAUAUGUGACUCUAUGAGAUGGACCGCCAGAAGCUAAAGAAGCCACUUUGUGACCAGGAGGGGACAGGGCUGAGGGCAAAAACCAACAUGCUAAGUAUGGCAGAGCAGAAAGAUGGAAAGAAAUGAACUCUAGUGAUAUCAUCAAUCUACCAAGCUAUCCAAUUCCAGAAAUGACCUCAGGCUUCCUUGCUAGGAUUAAACAUGGCCAUCCAAAAUGAACCUACACUUCCCAUUCCUGGAACAGCUGGGUGUAGCCAUCUGGAUCAAGUUCUGGCCAAUGGGAUUUUCGGGAAAGCAAUGUGUAAAUUCUGGAACCUGCCCCUUCCCUUCAUCUCCCCCAUGCUGCCCUCUAGAGCAUGGGCUUGGUAGCAAACCAUUGUGGACAACAUGGGUUAGGUUAAGAUCUAGUAAUGAUGAGGAAAAAGAAGAGAAGGAGCCUGGGUCUCUGGACAGCCUGAUAAAGAAGAGACUUCACCCCAACGUUGGGGCCACUGGCCUCCAGAUGCUUUUAGGUAGUUGAGUCCCAGGAUCCUGCAG